rnacentral:rRNA from 2 species
UAGGGAAUCUUCGGCAAUGGACGAAAGUCUGACCGAGCAACGCCGCGUGAGUGAAGAAGGUUUUCGGAUCGUAAAACUCUGUUGUUAGAGAAGAACAAGGACGUUAGUAACUGAACGUCCCCUGACGGUAUCUAACCAGAAAGCCACGGCUAACUACGUGCCAGCAGCCGCGGUAAUACGUAGGUGACAAGCGUUGUCCGGAUUUAUUGGGCGUAAAGCGAGCGCAGGCGGUUUCUUAAGUCUGAUGUGAAAGCCCCCGGCUCAACCGGGGAGGGUCAUUGGAAACUGGGAGACUUGAGUGCAGAAGAGGAGAGUGGAAUUCCAUGUGUAGCGGUGAAAUGCGUAGAUAUAUGGAGGAACACCAGUGGCGAAGGCGGCUCUCUGGUCUGUAACUGACGCUGAGGCUCGAAAGCGUGGGGAGCAAACAGG